UAGCUAAUACCGCGUAAUGUCUUAGGACUAAAGGGUGGGACCAUUUGGCCACCUGCCAUAAGAUGAGCCCAAGUGGGAUUAGGUAGUUGGUGAGGUAAAGGCUCACCAAGCCCGCGAUCUCUAGCUGGUCUGAGAGGAUGACCAGCCACACUGGAACUGAGACACGGUCCAGACUCCUACGGGAGGCAGCAGUGGGGAAUAUUGCACAAUGGGGGGAACCCUGAUGCAGCCAUGCCGCGUGAAUGAAGAAGGCCUUCGGGUUGUAAAGUUCUUUCGGUGACGAGGAAGGCGAUUGUUUUAAUAGAACAGUCGAUUGACGUUAAUCACAGAAGAAGCACCGGCUAACUCCGUGCCAGCAGCCGCGGUAAUACGGGGGGUGCGAGCGUUAAUCGGAAUAACUGGGCGUAAAGGGCACGCAGGCGGUUGUUUAAGUGAGGUGUGAAAGCCCCGGGCUUAACCUGGGAAUUGCAUUUCAGACUGGACAACUAGAGUACUUUAGGGAGGGGUAGAAUUCCACGUGUAGCGGUGAAAUGCGUAGAGAUGUGGAGGAAUACCGAAGGCGAAGGCAGCCCCUUGGGAAUGUACUGACGCUCAUGUGCGAAAGCGUGGGGAGCAAACAGGAUUAGAUACCCUGGUAGUCCACGCCGUAAACGCUGUCGAUUUGGGGAUUGGGGUUUAACUCUGGUGCCCGUAGCUAACGUGAUAAAUCGACCGCCUGGGGAGUACGGCCGCAAGGUUAAAACUCAAAUGAAUUGACGGGGGCCCGCACAAGCGGUGGAGCAUGUGGUUUAAUUCGAUGCAACGCGAA
rnacentral:rRNA from 1 species